rnacentral:rRNA from 1 species
GGUCCCGCCUGCCCUGUGACCCCAAAAGUUUAACGGCCGCGGUAUUUUGACCGUGCGAAGGUAGCGCAAUCACUUGUCCUUUAAAUGAGGACCUGUAUGAAUGGCAUAACGAGGGCUUAGCUGUCUCCCCUGUCCAGUCAAUGAAAUUGAUCUCCCCGUGCAGAAGCGGGGAUUACACCAUAAGACGAGAAGACCCUAUGGAGCUUUAGACAAUCAAACAACCCAAUUAGAACAGCCUACCAUAAACAGGCUGAACCUCCUUAAAGGUGCCCCUGUUUUAUGUCUUCGGUUGGGGCGACCGUGGGGAAAAGAAAAUCCCCCAUGAGGACCAAAAACCACCACUUUUAAAGCCGAGAGCCCACCACUCAAAGCAUCAGAACCUCUGACCCUAAUGAUCCGGCAUAACAGCCGAUCAACGAACCAAGUUACCCUAGGGAUAACAGCGCAAUCCCCUCUCAGAGUCCAUAUCGACGAGGGGGUUUACGACCUCGAUGUUGGAUCAGGACAUCCUAAUGGUGCAGCCGCUAUUAAGGGUUCGUUUGUUCAACGAUUAAUAGUCCUACGUGAUC